GUGUGGCUGAAGGGCUGGUUACUGAAGACACCCUCAAACCAUCGUUAAAGGAGCCCUAAGGUCCCCAGAUGCUGCAGAACCAGCAUGGUUUGCUGCUGUGUGUGUUAGAUUUGGGUGUGUACCCCCUGCGCUGUCAUGUCAUGCUGCAGGCAGGAAUACAGAGGCACGUGCAGUUACAACAGAGAGACCAGCUCCCGGGCACUGACAUGAAGGAGGAUAUGGAGAAAGGAGCAAGGGUGAAGAAAGUGGAUCUGCUACAAUACAGAUCCACCGGCUGCCUCUCCCCGAGAGACACUGAGUGGCAGGAGCUACAGCAGACUUGUCAUCCCUUCCUCAGAGUUCCAUAACACAACUUGGCUGCCUGGGGAAGCAAUUGCCCCGAAGUGACAAAACUGGGUGAGAACAUAUUGAAGACAGGAUCCUUUCUCGAAAGAGCUUCCUUGCAAAGAUGUGGAUUGGGCAGAUUUGGCAUGAUGCAACAUACCUUGAAUAGUCAAUAUCUAAAAAAGCCACAAAGUUUUGAUUAUUCAUGGAUUCUCUUACUGGAGAUCUUACCAGUGAUCUUGAGCAUGUAUGGCAAAUCACUGGAGGGGAUAUAAUGUUUGAUGGACUAAGAGGAAUACUUGCCACUUACCAUAUUAAAGGCACAUUAUAAAUUAUAAGUAAUUAGUGCUCACGGCAUCCCUGUGAAGUACAGUAGUUGUUAGCCCCAUCUGAUAAAUAGAGAAACAGAGGCAGAGUAUUUGUGAUGGUCAAGACUGUAGGAGUCAGUGGCUGGACUAGCGCUCAGAAGCCUUUGGCUCCCACUCAGAGUGCAGGAAAAGGUUUAACUCAUGUUAGACUAGU